rnacentral:rRNA from 1 species
GACGAACGCUGGCGGCGUGCUUAACACAUGCAAGUCGAACGGUGAAGCGCCUUCCUUUUUGGUGGGUGUGGAUGAGUGGCGAACGGGUGAGUAACACGUGAGUAACCUGCCCCCUUCUUCUGGAUAACCGCAUGAAAGUGUGGCUAAUACGGGAUAUUCUGGGUCUGUCGCAUGAUGGGUCUGGGAAAGAUAUUGUUUCGGUGGGGGAUGGGCUCGCGGCCUAUCAGCUUGUUGGUGGGGUGAUGGCCUACCAAGGCGGUGACGGGUAGCCGGCCUGAGAGGGUCGACGGUCACACUGGGACUGAGACACGGCCCAGACUCCUACGGGAGGCAGCAGUGGGGAAUAUUGCACAAUGGGCGCAAGCCUGAUGCAGCGACGCCGCGUGAGGGAUGGACGCCUUCGGGUUGUGAACCUCUUUCGCCAGUGAAGCAGGCCUGCCUCGUUUGUGGGUGGGUUGACGGUAGCUGGAUAAGAAGCGCCGGCUAACUACGUG